rnacentral:rRNA from 1 species
UCCAUCCUACGGGAGGCAGCAGUGGGGGAUAUUGCACAAUGGGGGGAACCCUGAUGCAGCGACGCCGCGUGGGUGAAGGAGCGUUUCGGCGCGUAAAGCCCUAUCGGCAGGGAAGAAGGAGGACGGUACCCGACUAAGAAGCCCCGGCUAACUACGUGCCAGCAGCCGCGGGAAUACGUAGGGGGCAAGCGUUAUCCGGAUUUACUGGGGGUAAAGGGAGCGUAGACGGCGACGCAAGUCUG